rnacentral:rRNA from 1 species
GGUUAAGCGACUAAGCGUACACGGUGGAUGCCCUGGCAGUCAGAGGCGAUGAAGGACGUGCUAAUCUGCGAUAAGCGUCGGUAAGGUGAUAUGAACCGUUAUAACCGGCGAUUUCCGAAUGGGGAAACCCAGUGUGUUUCGACACACUAUCAUUAACUGAAUCCAUAGGUUAAUGAGGCGAACCGGGGGAACUGAAACAUCUAAGUACCCCGAGGAAAAGAAAUCAACCGAGAUUCCCCCAGUAGCGGCGAGCGAACGGGGAGCAGCCCAGAGCCUGAAUCAGUGUGUGUGUUAGUGGAAGCGUCUGGAAAGGCGCGCGAUACAGGGUGACAGCCCCGUACACAAAAAUGCACAUGCUGUGAGCUCGAUGAGUAGGGCGGGACACGUGGUAUCCUGUCUGAAUAUGGGGGGACCAUCCUCCAAGGCUAAAUACUCCUGACUGACCGAUAGUGAACCAGUACCGUGAGGGAAAGGCGAAAAGAACCCCGGCGAGGGGAGUGAAAAAGAACCUGAAACCGUGUACGUACAAGCAGUGGGAGCACGCUUCGGCGUGUGACUGCGUACCUUUUGUAUAAUGGGUCAGCGACUUAUAUUCUGUAGCAAGGUUAACCGAAUAGGGGAGCCGAAGGGAAACCGAGUCUUAACUGGGCGUUAAGUUGCAGGGUAUAGACCCGAAACCCGGUGAUCUAGCCAUGGGCAGGUUGAAGGUUGGGUAACACUAACUGGAGGACCGAACCGACUAAUGUUGAAAAAUUAGCGGAUGACUUGUGGCUGGGGGUGAAAGGCCAAUCAAACCGGGAGAUAGCUGGUUCUCCCCGAAAGCUAUUUAGGUAGCGCCUCGUGAAUUCAUCUCCGGGGGUAGAGCACUGUUUCGGCAAGGGGGUCAUCCCGACUUACCAACCCGAUGCAAACUGCGAAUACCGGAGAAUGUUAUCACGGGAGACACACGGCGGGUGCUAACGUCCGUCGUGAAGAGGGAAACAACCCAGACCGCCAGCUAAGGUCCCAAAGUCAUGGUUAAGUGGGAAACGAUGUGGGAAGGCCCAGACAGCCAGGAUGUUGGCUUAGAAGCAGCCAUCAUUUAAAGAAAGCGUAAUAGCUCACUGGUCGAGUCGGCCUGCGCGGAAGAUGUAACGGGGCUAAACCAUGCACCGAAGCUGCGGCAGCGACGCUGAUGCGUUGUUGGGUAGGGGAGCGUUCUGUAAGCCUGCGAAGGUGUGCUGUGAGGCAUGCUGGAGGUAUCAGAAGUGCGAAUGCUGACAUAAGUAACGAUAAAGCGGGUGAAAAGCCCGCUCGCCGGAAGACCAAGGGUUCCUGUCCAACGUUAAUCGGGGCAGGGUGAGUCGACCCCUAAGGCGAGGCCGAAAGGCGUAGUCGAUGGGAAA